UGGGGAAUUUUGGACAAUGGGCGCAAGCCUGAUCCAGCCAUGCCGCGUGCGGGAAGAAGGCCUUCGGGUUGUAAACCGCUUUUGUCAGGGAAGAAAUCUUCUGAGUUAAUACCUCGGGAGGAUGACGGUACCUGAAGAAUAAGCACCGGCUAACUACGUGCCAGCAGCCGCGGUAAUACGUAGGGUGCAAGCGUUAAUCGGAAUUACUGGGCGUAAAGCGUGCGCAGGCGGUUUUGUAAGACAGAGGUGAAAUCCCCGGGCUCAACCUGGGAACUGCCUUUGUGACUGCAAGGCUUGAGUGCGGCAGAGGGGGAUGGAAUUCCGCGUGUAGCAGUGAAAUGCGUAGAUAUGCGGAGGAACACCGAUGGCGAAGGCAAUCCCCUGGGCCUGCACUGACGCUCAUGCACGAAAGCGUGGGGAGCAGACAGGAUUAGAUAGCCCUGGUAGUCCACGCCCUAAACGAUGUCAACUGGUUGUUGGGAAGGUUCCUUCUCAGUAACGUAGCUAACGCGUGAAGUUGACCGCCUGGGGAGUACGGCCGCAAGGUUGAAACUCAAAUGAAUUGACGGGGUCAUAGCUGUUUCCUG
rnacentral:rRNA from 1 species